rnacentral:rRNA from 1 species
UACGGGGGGAGCAAGCGUUGUUCGGAUUUACUGGGCGUAAAGGGCGCGUAGGCGGCCAGCACAAGUCAGUUGUGAAAUCUCCGAGCUUAACUCGGAACGGUCAACUGAUACUGUGCGGCUAGAGUGCAGAAGGGGCAACUGGAAUUCUCGGUGUAGCGGUGAAAUUCGUAGAUAUCGGGAGGAACACCAGUGGCGAAGGCGGCGACCUGGGCCAAUAUUGACGCUGAGGUGCGAAAGCGUGGGGAGCAAACAGG